rnacentral:rRNA from 1 species
UACGUAGGGGGCAAGCGUUAUCCGGAUUCACUGGGCGUAAAGGGAGCGCAGGCGGCAUGGUAAGUCUGAUGUGGAAACCCGGGGCCCGACCCCGGGAGUGCAUUGGAAACUGCCAGGCUGGAGUGUCGGAGGGGUAAGCGGAAUUCCUAGUGUAGCGGUGAAAUGCGUAGAUAUUAGGAGGAACACCAGUGGCGAAGGCGGCUUACUGGACGACUACUGACGCUGAGGCUCGAAAGCGUGGGGAGCAAACAGG